AAAAAAAAAGAAAAAAAGAAAUUACUUCUAGAAUUAGUUAUAACUUCAGUAAUAUUUUUUAUAUCAGAUCUUAACUAAAAAUUAGUUUUGUAUAUUUCUCUUAUAAUAAGAUAGAUUAACUUAAGAAAAUACUUACAUUUCUAUCGGUGACUGUUUUUCAAAGCCAAUUCAGAUAUGAGUUCAAAAUAAAAAGUAUGUUAGGU
rnacentral:lncRNA from 1 species